UACAGAGGUCUCAAGCGUUGUUCGGAUUCAUUGGGCGUAAAGGGUGCGUAGGCGGUGUGUCGCGUCGGCCGUGAAAACCUGCAGCUUAACUGUGGGCUUGCGGUCGAUACGGGCAUCACUGGAGUUCGGCAGGGGAGACUGGAAUUCCUGGUGUAGCGGUGAAAUGCGCAGAGUAUCAGGAGGAACACCGGUGGCGAAGGCGGGUCUCUGGGCCGAUACUGACGCUGAGGAGCGAAAGCGUGGGGAGCGAACAGG
rnacentral:rRNA from 1 species